rnacentral:tRNA from 1 species
GUUCACAUAGUUUAAGCCUAAACCAGGGCAUGGAAGCUGCCAAGAUGGCCCAGGAAAGCCUGGGAACC